AUUGAACGCUGGCGGCAGGCCUAACACAUGCAAGUCGAGCGGAGCGGCGGACGGGUGAGUAAUGCUUAGGAAUCUGCCUGGUACUGGUGGAUAACGUCCGGAAACGGGCGCCAACAUCGCAUACUAUCAGAUGAGCCUAGGUCGGAUUAGCUAGUUGGUGGGGUAAAGGUCUACCAAGGCGACGAUCCGUAACUGGUCUGAGAGGAUGAUCAGUCACACUGGAACUGAGACACGGUCCAGACUCCUACGGGAGGCAGCAGUGGGGAAUAUGGCACAAUGGGCGAAAGCCUGAUGCAGCCAUGCCGCGUGUGUGAAGAAGGUCUUCGGAUUGUAAAGCACUUUAAGUUGGGAGGCGUUACCAGCAGAAUAAGCACCGGCUAACUUCGUGCCAGCAGCCGCGGUAAUAC
rnacentral:rRNA from 1 species